AUUGAACGCUGGCGGCAUGCCUUACACAUGCAAGUCGAACGGCAGCACGGGAGCUUGCUCCUGGUGGCGAGUGGCGAACGGGUGAGUAAUACAUCGGAACGUACCCUGAAGUGGGGGAUAACGUAGCGAAAGUUACGCUAAUACCGCAUAUUCUGUGAGCAGGAAAGAGGGGGAUCGCAAGACCUCUUGCUUUAGGAGCGGCCGAUGUCGGAUUAGCUAGUUGGUGAGGUAAAGGCUCACCAAGGCGACGAUCCGUAGCGGGUCUGAGAGGAUGAUCCGCCACACUGGGACUGAGACACGGCCCAGACUCCUACGGGAGGCAGCAGUGGGGAAUUUUGGACAAUGGGCGCAAGCCUGAUCCAGCCAUGCCGCG
rnacentral:rRNA from 1 species